rnacentral:rRNA from 1 species
AGUGAACGCUGGCGGUAGGCCUAACACAUGCAAGUCGAACGGCAGCACAGUAAGAGCUUGCUCUUAUGGGUGGCGAGUGGCGGACGGGUGAGGAAUACAUCGGAAUCUACUUUUUCGUGGGGGAUAACGUAGGGAAACUUACGCUAAUACCGCAUACGACCUACGGGUGAAAGCAGGGGACCUUCGGGCCUUGCGCGAUUGAAUGAGCCGAUGUCGGAUUAGCUAGUUGGCGGGGUAAAGGCCCACAAAGGCGACGAUCCGUAGCUGGUCUGAGAGAAUGAGCAGACACACUGGAACUGAGACACGGUCCAGACUCCUACGGGAGGCAGCAGUGGGGAAUAUUGGACAAUGGGCGCAAGCCUGAUCCAGCCAUACCGCGUGGGUGAAGAAGGCCUUCGGGUUGUAAAGCCCUUUUGUUGGGAAAGAAAUCCAGCCGGCUAAUACCUGGUUGGGAUGACGGUACCCAAAGAAUAAGCACCGGCUAACUUCGUGCCAGCAGCCGCAGUAAUAC